rnacentral:rRNA from 1 species
UACGUAGGUGGCAAGCGUUGUCCGGAAUUAUUGGGCGUAAAGCGCGCGCAGGCGGACCAGGCAAGUCUGGAGUGAAAUCUCGCCGCUCAACGGCGAGGCUGCUUUGGAAACUGCGGGUCUGGAGACCGGUAGAGGCUGGUAGAAUUGCAGGUGUAGCGGUGGAAUGCGUAGAGAUCUGCAAGAAUACCCGUGGCGAAGGCGGCCAGCUGGGCCGGUUCUGACGCUGAGGUGCGAAAGCGUGGGGAGCAAACAGG